GAAAGUCUUAUAUUAAAUAACAAUAAUUUAAAUAUCAUUUAAAAACAAUAAUUUAAAUAAGUAUAAUAAAAAUAUGAUAAUCUAACUAAAAAAGACAUUAUUCUUCCAAUAAAUAACAAAUUUUAAAAUUUUAUUUAAACCCGUGCUUGGCACGGGCUAUCAACUAGUAAAUAUAAAAACCAAUUGAUGAACUCUAUGUCAGUUCUAUAGUAAACUUAACACACACUUGGCUACUAGUGCCUGUGCUGGUGCGUAUAUAUACGUGUCACGUGUGCUGUUAUGUUUCUCUUGGACUUCACGCACAUGCCUCAUUCUGUUUGCACAAGCCUGUGGUUUUAUCCAGAAACAUUAGGCCAUAAUCCACAAGUUUGGUAUAUUGACAUAACAGGCCCAGGCUUUAGUUUAUAUUAGUACGCGCUAAGUUUUGUUUUCUAGACAGAUUCGAAUCACCAUGGUCGGCAACCGAUUAGUGUAAUGAGAAUCGGAAUUGAGAAUGAGGUGGACGAGAAUUAAGGUUAAUAUGAGUGAAAAUUAUAUAGAAUCUCAAAUAUAGUUAUGGUAUAAUUUACGCCUAUAACAGAAAUGAGGUUCUAAUUCUUAACAAAUAAUUUUUUAAUCCAAACACUACACAAAAUAAGAAUUUCGAUCCCCGUUAACCGGACUUAUUAAUUAUGAACCAAAACUUUCAUAAAUAAAUAUUUAAUAGAUCACAAGGACGCUGUAUUGCUCAAAACCGCUGGCUAGUUAUAACAACUCUCCCCCUGUUUUUUCCAAACUGUGCACUCAGGUCUUCCACCAUAUUACUCCUGCUUCCCGCGGCCCCGCCAUCUGAUCUGAGAAUUUCUACUCACCAUCUGAUCUGAGAAUUUCUUCUCAAACUCUGACUCUGUAGAUAUCAACUACAUGUGAUGUUGAUGAAAGAUGAGUUACUAAUAAAUUUAAAACCUUGCUUGUCCAUCUUUCUGAAUCAAUAGCAUAUAAUUUGAAAGCUAAGGCUGGGGUGAAAAGUGAAAACAGAGUUCAGUUCUUGUAAAAACAGAUGGAAUACAUGCAUAUGCUAUAUAUUAGUACAAGGCUAGGCACCAUGAACCUUAUUACAGAAAUAAAAUGUUGAAUUGUUUUGAGAGUCAAGUAUCCUCUGUUACUUGAUCAAACCCUUCGGUGAAGAUAGUUGAAAGCAUUCAUUCCAUCUUUUGAGAAGCAAAAUCCAAAUUCCAGAUCACCCCCGGAAUCCCUUGAUCCAGCAAGCGCAAACUUCUCUCAAAAUAACUUCAUACAUUUUUGAUUGCCCCAACCAAAAUCGGUAAUAUAAUAGUAAAGCUUUGGUGAUCCAGCAACCUUAAAUGUUAGCUGGCCUCUUGUCGCUCAAUCUUAUCAAAAAUCAUAUCUAACUCUUUUAACACUCCCUCCUUGUUCUUUAUUUUUCAUCAAUGACCUCUCUUAUGUUCUUAACUGCAAUCCAAAAGCCUUCUUCUCCUACUAAUUGGAUGGAUUUUAGGGUAGACCAACAAGGCAAAGCCACCAUUCUAAAAUAAUUUGAUUAUUUGAAGCAAUUGGUGGAUCUAGACGUGCCCGAACGUCCAUAGCAAAAACAAAAUGCUCAUCCACCUCAACUUCAACAUUUCUUUGCCAUGCAAGCCCAUGCAUAGGCACAAAUGAUACACCACCACAAAACGAGCUCGGCUCGUUUAACUAAACGAGCCGAGUCGAGCCUACUUAAACGAGUUCGAGCCGGGCGAGCUCGCGAGCCGCCCGACUCGAAUUACAGCUCUACCUGCGUGUCUAACUUGUAAUGCUUGACGCUCACCUCCAACAUUUUAUAUAUCACUUGAAUUCUGAUACCUGGUUAGGGUUACAAUGCGACUUCAUACAGAUUACAUUCUCCUAAUUAAUGUGACGUUGAUUUUCAAUUCGUUAGAGUAGUAUAUAUACUUGAGUUUGCUUUAGAUCUUUAGAUUUCUGAUGUACCCUUUACUUCUUCUAAUCGGGCUCUUUGAAUGUUGGGUUUUCUUGCCAUUCUCUUAUUGUUGGCAUGCCCAAAUUAUUAAGAAAAUAAAAAUUUAUAUUUUAAAAUAGAUUAGAGAAAAUAGUGGGAUGUCGAUCAUUUAUUUUGAUAAAAUAUCAACUAAAAGAUUUUGGUUUAAACCAACUUCGCCUUUGAACAUGGAGAAUCUUCGUCUAAGAUAAUGACCUGGUAAUUCGCACACUUAAAUGUUUAUUUAUGUUCAUGCUAAAAUACUGACGACAGAAGAAAGAAGAGAAUACGUGCCAAAUUAGUGACAAAAAAGAAAGAAGGGAAUACAUGUUAAACUAUGUGGGCUUUAAAAACUGUAAGGUUGUGUUCACUUGGAGUGAAUGAAAUGGAGGAAGAAUGGAAUGAAGUUUGUACUCUAAAAUGGUGUUGAUCAAAAAAAAUGUAUAUAAUUUUCAUUCCUUCAAUCAUUCCAACCUUACUAUUUUGAUUAUAAUUGUAACCCACAUGUUUUGGAAGGAAUGCUCAUUCCAUUUCAACAUCAUGUUUAUUCCAAUCUUUCUCACAAAAAAAUUAACUACAUUCAUAUUUUGUCAUCAUUAUCUCAUACUUUCUUCUUUCUCCCUAAAACUUCUAUAUAAUUUUUCAUUCCAUUCUCCCUUCAUUCCAUUCCAUGAAGUGAACACAACCUAAUUCUGUAACUACCAUUCUUAUAUAUUUUUAUCUUUUACAAAUGCAUGGGCCAGCAGCCUCUGUUCUUUUCUUCCCUAAAAAUUACGCAUGAAUGAAUAAUGAUAGUGCGGCCACUGCAUGGACACUUGGACAGUAGUGAUUAUAAAAGCUAGCUCUGCAGGACCUGCAAAUUACAAACAUGCUUUCAAAUUUUACUGAUCAGGUUCUGAUUUCAGAUUUUUAUUUAACAAUUCAAAUUCACUCGUUCAUCCUGACAAAAAAAAUAAAAAAAAUUCACUCGUUUAUCUUAUCAAAUAUUGUGUGUUUACCUAAAACUCGCUAAGAAAUAAGUUGAGUUUGUAUCACUGCAGAACAAUACAAGUAGAUCUAGUAGAGUUACCCCGAACAAUUUUGUGACAAAGUUAAAAAAUUCAAAUGAAGAAUAUUAUUUGAAGCGUGAAAAUGAGGGCCUUGGAAGAACGAGAUUGCUUCCGGCUUAAGUUAAUAACUUCAAAGGUUAAGUUUGGAAACAAGGAGGAUUGUUUUAUUUGAAAUAACAUUUAUCGGAGAUUUCUCCCUUAAAAGAUGGUUCAGAAAUCAGAAUCAAGUAAUGAGUUUUGGCCUCUGUCCAAAAAAAAAAAUAGUAAUGAGUUUUGGCUGUUUUAUGGUCUCUGUGACCGGUUAGAAUCGAGUUGAUUUUUUAACUCCUUAGAACAUUUCUAAUACACUCCUACGUAGACUAUCAACAUUAAAAAAUAUGAGAAAAAAUAGAGUUCAAGAAAAUGUUGGUAGUUCUUAAAGUUUUUAAAUCAUUAGAGUCUUUUUUCUUUUCUCUCUCUUUUUUUUUAUUUGCUAAAUAUCUUUUCUCUCUUUUAAGACUUAAGAGUCACACCUCGACUCUUAACUUAUUUUUAUAAAAAAAUAUUUUCUCUCUCAUUUGAAUUUGAAUUUUUGUCAUAGUGAACUUCAAAUAAAAAUAAAAUAUAAUGUUAUGAGUGGGUAUAAAGAAUAUUAUUAGAGUUCAAAUUCUUAAUGUAAUAAUUGACUAAAAGAUUAAUAUUUUAUACUAUAUUAAGUAGUUAAUUAGGAGACUAUUGGAUAUGUUCUUAGUUAAUAUCAUCAAAAGAUUUUGUUUGGAUGGAAGGGCUCAAAAUAGUAAAUAAGAGAAAUCUCAAUGGUGUUAUCUAUUUUGAACUCCUAAAAUAUAAUAAAUUAAUGGUUAUCUAAAAUAUAGAUAAUUAAAAAGUUGUUUUACUUCAACGGUUUUUCCUAUAAUCAUUUAUAUAUUUGAAAAAAUUAUAUUUUAUUAGAACUUCUACUAUGAUGGAGAAAAUAACAAAAGGAGGAAAAAUGAAAAAUCACUACACCAUAGAUUGGCUAUUGCAACCAGAUUUUUCAAAUUUUAUCGAAAAACAUUGCAAUUGAGGAAUGAGUUCGUCUAAUUUGCAAGGGUUUUUAAUGACAUUGCAGUAGAGUUUAAAAACAUUGCAACAGAAGUGAAAAAAAUUGGUGAGAGUUUAAAGUGCAUUCUAUUGCAAUGCUGUAUAUAAACAUUGCAAUAGAUUACCGAUUUUGGGCCCAAAAUUAAGCGGGCUUGCUGAUAAAAGAAAGAAAAAAGAAGCGGGCUUUUUUACAAUUCCUUUCCCCGCUAUCAAAUUAAAAAAAACACAAACAAAAUAAUAAAAUAACAAACAAAAUAGAACUUAAACACUCAAAUUCGGCUUUAGACAAACUAAAAGAACACGCACAGCUGAGUAACUAAAGCUGUGUUAGGAGAUUAGUUGUGUGGAGAGGAGAUUAGCUUUGUGGAGAGAAGAUUGAAGCUGUGUGGAGAUUGUUAACAAGCUGUGCGAACGGGGAUAUUUUUUUGGGUGGAUUACUCCUCUUAUGCAGCAAGGAUACAAAAGACCUAUUACUGAAAAGGAUGUUUGGAAGUUAGAUACAUGGGAUCAGACUGAAACAUUAAGGACAAAGUUUUUGCAAUGCUGGAUGGAAGAAUCUCAAAAGGAGAAACCAUGGCUAUUAUGUGCUUUAAAUAGUAGUCUUGGAAGAAGGUUUUGGUUGGGUGGAUUUUUCAAAGUAAGGCUAAGUUGUUUAGUGUCAAUUUAGAACUUCAAAUCCAUUUAAUCGAAAUUCAUCUGCUCUCACUAUCUCCGACCUAAACUUCUAAAAGCAUACCACACAUUACCAGAUUGGAAAUGAUCUCUCACAGUUUGCAGGACCUGUUAUAUUAAACCGUCUCUUGCAGUAUGUGCAACUCCUAAAGAUACUCCAGCUUCAAUUUCUGCUUUGCGAAAAAGAAAGAUUAAUCAGGACUUCAGGAGCCUUCUAAGGAGAUGCAAUUUCUUGGUCGCAAGACCAGAAUGGUUCGAGCCUCCAAGGGAGAUGCCAUUACAACAAUUGCACAAAUACAUUACUCUAGAUUAAUAUCUUUUGGAGAAGACAAAAUCUGUAGAAGUGCUCAUGUGCAAACUUUAGCCUUAUUUUGCUUGAACUUUUAGACUUGGUUAUUUGCUCAUGUUUGAACAAUAGUAAUAGGACUAUAGUACUGCUUGUUGACUUUUUGGAUUGGUGAAUGUUGGAUUGUAUUUUGAUAUACCAAUUAAAUUUGGUGGUUUUUAAUGAAAUGUGAAGGUCAU